GCACUGGUGGUUCAGUGGUAGAAUUUUUGCCUUCCGUAUAGGAGACCCAGGUUCGAUUCCUGGCCAGUGCA
rfam:Loxodonta africana unplaced genomic scaffold scaffold_1, whole genome shotgun sequence.